rnacentral:tRNA from 1 species
CUCUCGGUGGCCAAGCUGGCUAAGGCGCGAGACUGUAAUUUCAACUGUAAUCUUGAGAUCGGGUGUUCGACUCACCCCCGGGAGA